rnacentral:rRNA from 1 species
AUUGAACGCUGGCGGCAGGCCUAACACAUGCAAGUCGAGCGGAUGAAGGGAGCUUGCUCCUGGAUUCAGCGGCGGACGGGUGAGUAAUGCCUAGGAAUCUGCCUGGUAGUGGGGGAUAACGUCCGGACACGGGCGCUAAUACCGCAUACGUCCUGAGGGAGAAAGUGGGGGAUCUUCGGACCUCACGCUAUCAGAUGAGCCUAGGUCGGAUUAGCUAGUUGGUGGGGUAAAGGCCUACCAAGGCGACGAUCCGUAACUGGUCUGAGAGGAUGAUCAGUCAAACUGGAACUGAGACACGGUCCAGACUCCUACGGGAGGCAGCAGUGGGGAAUAUGGGACAAUGGGCGAAAGCCUGAUCCAGCCAUGCCGCGUGUGUGAAGAAGGUCUUCGGAUUGUAAAGCACUUUAGGUUGGGAGGAAGGGCAGUAAGUUAAUACCUUGCUGUUUUGACGUUACCAACAGAAUAAGCACCGGCUAACUUCGUG